rnacentral:tRNA from 1 species
GUAGAUUUAGUAUAAAUUUAUUAUGUUGGAUUUAGGUUCCAUUGAUUUUUUCUACU